CCGUACGCGUACGUGCCGUUUGGACUCGGCCCACGUAACUGUGUCGGGAUGCGAUUCGCCAUCCUGGUCAUGAAGAUGGUCAUCGUGCGCAUCCUGCAGAAGUACUCUGUGGAAAAGUGCAGCGACACCUUGGUCCCAAUUCAGUUUGACUUUAGGUUCCAACCUACCAAGCCUCUGGUGGUGAAAUUUGUUCCCAGAGAACUAUAAUGGAAGACUUAUUAAUUUUUUUUUUAAUAAUCUGGAUGGAUGAUUGCUUCUGAAUGUUGUGUAAUUCAAUCACUGCUGAGAGAUCAUGUAACUUGGCUGUGCUUUCUAAAGUCCGUCUUUGUUGGCUGUCGUGAAUAGCGGACACAGACAAAAUGUUGCAGUUAUUUCAGUUUUUGAGGUGAAGGCCACUGUGUGUGUGUGUGUGUGUGUGUGUGUGUGUGUGUGUGUGUGUACAGUGCCCUGCAAAAAGUGUUCACACUUCUAGCAUUUCUUCAAAAUAUGCAAAGCUAAAAUCACAAACUUUCAUAUGGAUGUUGAACAUUGAUGUGAAUGAGCAACACAAAGCGAUAUUUAAUGUGCAGCGGAAAAUUAAAAAAAUCAAUG